rnacentral:lncRNA from 1 species
CUGGGAGGUUGGGGCUGUAGUGAGCUGUGAUGACACCACUGCACUCCAGCCUGGGUGACAGAGUGAGACCCUGUCUCAAAAGGAAAAAAAAGGCUUCAGAAAAAUGUACCUCUCCGACUGGGGGCAGGGGUAGCUCAGUAAGAUCCUCCAAGCAGAGAAAGUGGAGGAAGAUUCAAAGCCUGGAGAGUUCGGACUCUUGGGGGGAUGGGCUCCUCUCCUGCCCCCAGGAGAGAGUCAAGGGUGAUUUAGUUAUGCCUAGGGUCUGGAAGCAGCGUGGGCCUUCAGAGCUGAAGACCUGCAGAGAGUCCCUCAGGGGAAGUGGACGCAGGUGAUUAAUGACAGCCACACAUCUCUGAGAGAAGACAUGUUGCAGCAAACAGGUGGGAGAGUCUCUUCCCCUCUGAGGUGGAGGCCUGGAAACACCCAGAAGGAAAGAAAGACCGACAAUCUGGAAUGUAAGCAGAAGCCUGAAAACACCCCAGUGUCCAUGUAGCCCUGGAGGCGGUUUGAUUGUUCCUCGUCACUGUUAUUAUUUACCAUUUGAUGGAUGAGAAGAUUGAAAUAGAAACGACCUUUAAUUACAGGAAUGCGACUUAUCAUUUUUUUUUUUUUUUUUGCAAACAGGUAUAGCUCUGUAAGUCUUAUGAACCACAAUGCCACCUGUUGAUUGGAAAAGGGUGAUCAUGGGAGAGGGGAGGCUCAUUUUAAGCGGUAUCUCCAGGCUUCCACAGAGAAAUGUCACCUUUCCGUGUGUUGAGUAAGCCUAUGAGAAGGAGAGCCCUGUACUUCCUCCAUAUGCACCCCCACGUACUCUCCCUCACUCUCAGCCUCGAGAAAGCCAGUCAUGUAUGAUGAUAUUUGUAACAUUGAGAAGAUGAAACAUCCUACUGCUAUCAACCAAUGACUGGCUGGAACAGCUGGAGUGCAGAGUUGAGAUUCCUCAUGUCUCUGGAAUCAGAGACACCGAGCCCCGAGUCCUGGCCUGGCAGCUCACUGGGAGUGAGACCAUGGGCAUAUUUCUUACCCUCUGCAAUCCUGCAUCCUCCUCGGUGGACAGCACUAGUGAAGGGAGCACACGAAGCCCUUGGAAAUCGGAAGGCUGAAGCAAAAGCUUGGACUGAGAGUAGGAGGAAGGAAGUUGCUUGUUAUUUUGAAUAAGCAAGCUUCAUGAAUAAAAUGCUGACCUACUGUCUGCUCUCCACACUGCUACACUGGUUAGCACACUGUAAUUGCAAAACACUUUGCUAGAGCCUUUUGCCGAAUUUCCCUCAAAAGAGGCAAGUUUUGAUUUUUUUUUUUUUUUGUCAAGCAUAUACCCUCCGAUUUAGCUGUUCACCAUCUUUGUAAUCUACUGGGACUGUGAUGUAACCUCUGGCAUCUAAGAUUCUUCAGGCUUGUUAAUAACCACCAGCUACAGCUGAGAGAAAAGCAAGAAUGCAAGGUUUGGAUAGAUAAUGGCAGUGGAAGGAAGGAGCUGGGAAGAUAAUUAAAACAAUGACAUUCUAAGGUAGCUGAAGUUUCCCUUUUAUUGAAAAUAUUUGAGAAUCUUUAGGAUCUCCAAUUUUCUGCUCUCAGUAAUUUUUCUCAACAAAUUAUUCCACUACUGCCUCACGGAAGCAUAAACCACUGUCUCCAGUGCUUGGAGAAAUCACAAAAUUUCAAAAAACAGCCACAAUCAUUGUUUUCAAAAAAUGUAUGUUAAAAUUAAUUUAUAGUUAAGUUUACUUUUUACCCUUUAUAUCAGAAGAGGCCAUUUAUUAUUUAUUUAUUUCAGAAUUAUUUCUUUCCUAUUUUUAUUGUAUGUAUUUAUCAUGUACAACAUGAUGUUUUGAAGUAAGUAUACAUUGUGGAAUGGCUAAAUCAAGCUAAGCAUAUGCAUUACCUCACAUACUUAUCUUUUUUUUGUGGUGAGAACACUUAACAUCUACUCUCAUGUUUGAGUUCCUUAUGUAUGUUAGAUAUUAACUCCUUAUCAGAUAUAGUUUGAAAAUACUUUCUACCUUUUGUUGUCUGUGUUGGCAAUUUUCAAGAAUACAAUACAUUGUUAUUAACUAUAGUCAUCACAUUGUACAAUCGGGUCUCUUGAAUUUAUUCCUUCUGUCUAACUGAAAUUUUGUAUCCUUUGACCAACAUCUCUCUAAUCCCAUUCUACUCUCUACAUCUAUGAGUUCAGCUUUGUCUAUUAUACACACAAGUGAGAUCGUGUAGUGUUUGCCUUUCUCUUCCUGGCUUAUUUCAAUCCUGCAGUUCCAUCCAUGUUGUCACAAAUGAUAAGAUUUUCUUCUUUAUAAAGGCUGUAUAGUUCUUCAUCAUGUAGAUGCACCACAUUUUAAAAAAUCCUUUCAUCCAUUGGUGGACACUGAGAUUAUUUCCAUAUCUUGGUUUGGAACAGGAAUUAAAGGAAAUUAAAGAAUGUGUAAGCAGAAACUCAGCUGCAUGUAAGAAAACCCAGUUCCCCCCCAGAAAAAGAAAGAGCUGGAGUCCUUUAAAAAUUAACUGCCUGUUUUUCUGUGGCUAGUGAGCCUUAUCUCUCCUCCUUUCCCAGGCAUUGUGAAGACCCUGUUUCUCUAGCUGUGCAGCUGCAAGGUCACUCGACAGAUAAACUCAAGUUGUAAAACAUGUUUUUCCUUGAAAAGUAAGAAAUGAUGUAAUGGAUGUCUCAAUUAAUUGAAUAACUGUCUUUGUUUCUCGCUCCUGUAAUAUGCUUCCUCCUGCACAGAUCUCCCCCUGCCCCACGAAAUGCUUAAAAGGUAACUUAACUUUUUGUUCAGGGCUCAGUCCCUUGGAUGUUAAACCAACUGGGCCGGUGCACCUAAAUAAUAAAUAUCCCCCUGAACCUCAUCAGUCUCUCUGAUUCCUUGUCAAUCCCACUACAGGUUAUUGUGAACAAUACUAAAAUCAACAUGGAAUUGUAGACAUCUCUUCAACAUACUGAUGUCAAUUCCUUUGGAUAUAUACCAGUCGUGGGAUUGUUGGAUCAUAUGGUAGUUCUAUUUUUAAUUGUUGAAGAAACUUCAUACUGUUUUCUAUAACAGUUGUACUAAUUUAUGUUCCCACCAACAGUAUGCAAAGGUUCCCUUUUCUCUAUAUACUUGACAGUGACAGAGCAGGGGCACUGUCAUCUUGGACAAACACUGUCACUUUAAGUUCCAGCUCCAUUUUUAGCCUCAUGAAUUUCAAGGAAAUCACUUCUCUUCUAACAGCAAGCAGCCAGAAAGAGAGACAGUAAAACACAGAUAAGACAGCUGGAGCACAGAGGGAGAGGGGAAAGUCUUUUGAGUAACUGCCAAACUUCACACUCAUACAAUGGGCCCCAGUAAAACAGUGGGCCCUAAUAAGCACAUUCCUUUCCCUUUAGGUGCACUAAGAUAGGAAAGCCAAAAUCAGACUUGGAGGGUAUGCCUGUAGCUUCAGGAAGAUGUAUGGGAACAGACAAAAACUCUCUCUCCAAGAUAAGUAUGACAAAGAGGCACAGAAACAGUCCAAGCCUCUGAUAAGCUCUCCUGCCCUGAACCCUUAAAAACUCUUAGUCUGUAAGAGAGAGUGCCUCUGACCUAACUAGGCCAGAAGCCCCUCUCAGGUUGAUUCUUCAAAAUAAAGCUGCCUUUGACUGUUAAGCCACUAUUUGUGUUUCUUUCCUCUUUCUUUAGUUCUUACAGACAGCACUGGUUGUCUU